rnacentral:lncRNA from 1 species
AAAAGAAGUGUUCAGAUAUGUGUCACAGAUUUAAAUAACAUAAAAACUCAGGAAAGCUGGGGAUCUGUGUGGGCUGCUGGAAGUACGAGUCGGCCUUUGACACAAGGCUGAAGCCUAAUGAGACGAUAUUUCUCUAAGGCUCUGGGCAUUUCUCUUCCCUAAGUCAGUUGACUUGGGCAGGGGGUUGGUGAGAGAAGGCUUCACGGAGCAGAGUCUUACAGGAGGAAAAGGAGUUUCGAAGGCCGACAGAGGACGUGAGGAGAGGAGGUAAGUGGGCCUUGUAGGUGGCCCUGUAGGAGCAACAUGGGCAGGCCCAGGGGUAGGAGGUAACAGGAAGUGCUUCUAGCAGAUGCAGGAAUGAUCUGUGAGAAGAGCUUAGAAGAGGUAGGCCAGGGCUAGAUGGUGGGAGGCCUUGCACAUCACAUCAAGGAAGACGAGUUUUCUCACGUUGGCAGUAGGGAAUGUUGAAGACUUCUUGUCCAAGAGGAGCUGUGGUCAUAUCUGCGUUUUCGAUGGCACUGUGGUGCCAGGAAGGAGAUGGGACAGGAGCAGAUGCAGGCAGAAGAAGACCCUCUGCGGACUGAGGGGAGAGCCAGGCACUGGCCUGUUUGCAGUAGCUUCGCCCUCAACAGGCCCAUGGCCCUCUUCCUUGUUUCUCAUGCUGCACCAAGAGGAGUAUAGGCUGAAUAUUUUUAAAACGCUGACAUCGAGAUGAAAAGGCUGCGGAAACAAAGAGCACAAACACGUCCUCUAUGUUGUUGAGAGUUAACAUCCAUGAGAAAUAUGCAUGCAUGUCGGAGCAGAAAAUAAUGAGGCAAUAUGCUUCCUUAAGCAGAUUCAGUGCAUCCUGGCCAGGGCCCCAAUGGGCAGAAGGGGAGGACGGCUGGAGGGGUGCCUUCGCUGUCUGCGCGAGCUGCUCCUUUCCAAGCAGACAGGUCACUCAGUGCUUUCUUCCAGGCAAUUAUUUUCGGGAUGACUAGCGAUUUUGACCAACCAAUCAAGCUUUGAUAGAAGCCACUUUCUAUUAAAAAAAAAAAUGUCCCCAAUCUUUAACUCGGAGAGAUUUUCUUCAGUGUGGCUUGAAAACCUCAAGUUUUCAAUUAAUGUCUCUCUCCCCACCUCCUGCAUCCUGCUUUUGCUUUCAUUUGGGGAGCUAGAGUGUUCAUAGGCUUGCCUGAAUUUCCCACGCGGGAUGUGUGUGUGUGUGUGUGUGCGUGGUGUGUGUGUGUAUUUUAAAGGCUUCUUUCUGGCUUUCUCUCAAUGAGGAAUGUUCCACGAAAAAGCAGAAUGAUUUGUGAGCAGGAGGCUGAGUGAAGGAGAAGGACUGAGAAUACAGACUGUGAGGUGUAGAGGAUUCUGACCCUGGGCUGAGGGUUUCAGGACCAGCCCCCACCAGGGUUAUGCAGAGAGAGGCAGGGUGCAUGUUUUCAAAUGCAGCAGGCGUGGCCCUGCUUCAGAAUACACUGGUGAAUAUUUUGAAUUUUAAUGGAUACACAUCUAUUUCAGUGUGAUUUAUUCCAUGGAAAUCAUUGCUUUUCUUUUAAAAUAAAAUUAUUUGCAUAAGGUAUGAGUGACUUAAAUAAAAAUGUGAGGUAAAUAUUAGCUCAGAUGUUUUGUGGAACAUGGCAAAGCUCUUAAAGGUGGCACCUGAAUGCCUUAAGAUUAGGAGACUCUGGAAUGAAUUUUGGGAUCAGAGAGACAUGGAUAAAAUUCAGGCUCUGCCUUUCCUAAAUGUGUGCCUCUGGGAAAAUUGCUUAAUAUCUCUGCAUCCUAGUUUUUAAUUUUUAUUUAUUUUUAUUUUUUAUUUUUUUAAGUUUAUUUAUUUGAGAGAGAGAGAGAUGGAGAGAGAGAGCAAGUCAGCACAAGUAAGGGGAGGAGCAGAGAGGGAGGAGACAGAAUUCCAAGCCGGCUCUGAACUCUCAACAGAGAGCCCGAUGCGGGGCUUGAACUCAUGAACCAUGAGAACAUGACCUGAGCCAAAGUCAAGAAUUGGACACUUAACCGACUGAGCCCCCUAGGAGCCCCAGUUUUUUUUAUUUUUUAAUCUGUAAAAUGUCAUGUACCUUUCCACAUUGUUAUGGGGUUUGAAAAUUGAUUUGUUCAUUCAUGUAUUCAUUUGAUCAUCAAUGAACAUCUGCUCUGUGCCACUCACUGUCUGGGCACAGGGAAUAUAGCCGUGCGCCAGACCACUUAUUGCUCUCAUGGAGCUCCCAUUCUAACGGGGAGGGUAGAUAAUAAAUGCAUAAAUAGAUAUGGAAGAAACUGUCAAGUUCUAAGAAAAACAUAGCAGAGUGAGGGAGAGGUUAUAGCAGAGCUUCUGAGAAGGAACAUGUUGGGUGCGUUUGAGGAAUGGCAGGGUGGUCACAGGAAGUGGAUGGGGGGAGAGGGAGAAAGGAAGAAAUGAGCCAGUAGUCAGAUGCCAGGGAAGAGAGUGCCUGGUAGGGUGGGGUGGAGACCGUAGGUUUUAUUUUAACUGUGACAGGAAGAGGAGUGAUAAAUACAUUGCAUCCAUUCAUAAUGACACAUUCAACUAAUAUUUGAAUAUCCAUUUACCUCGUGCUCAACUUGUGCAGAGUACUACUUUAGGCUCGGAGGUCUGGGAAAUACCAAUAUAAGCUGGACAAGGGAGCUCCAAUUCUUGUUGGAGAAGCACUAGUCUAAUCAAUUAAUAUCUGAUAUUCAUCCAGUGCCUGCUGUGUGCCAGGCAUAGUUCCAAGUGUUUCCUUUUAACAGAGUAGCUCAUGUGGUCCUUGGAAAACAAAACUGUAUAAUCAGUUAUUAUCUCCAGCUUGCAGAUGAGGAAGCUGGGUCCAGAGAGGCUUACCACUAUACAUAUCAGAGAGGAGCGGGAAAUAAAUGCACUCCCUUUGAGGGUCAAAGUAGAGUGGGGGUGCAGAGCAAACAUCACCUCCAAAGAGGGAGAGCACAGCCAAGGGACUCUCGGUGCUCUGGAGUGAGGCUUGCCACCUACCAUCUGUGAUGAUGGCCACGUCGCCUCUGUGCUCCGUGCUUCUGUUUCCUCAUCUGUGAAAUGUGGCCAGUAGGGGUACCCACCCCAUAGGAUAGCUGUGAGGAUGAAAUGGGACAGUGCAUGGAAAAGGCUUUUGCACAGAGCCUGGCAUAUGACAAGUGUCUCUCAGGUCUUAGAGAUACAGUUGUAAGGCAUUAGGGAAAUACUCAUGAUCUCGGCCUGGGCCUUGAGGAGUGAGUGAUAAGAAGCCCAGGUAGAUAGGUUAAUUCUACGUUGACAGAACAUCUCAGGAAAUGAAUAGAAUGUUGAUGGCUCAUGGUGUGCUGGGUUGGUGGAUGAGGGUAGAGUGGACAAUUCUUUUCAUUCUAUUAAUAUGCAGCAUCAAGGAGACAUUGACUGCCAUCCUUAGCACAGUGAACUUUUUUUUUUACAGGCUACAGCGUAGCUUUGGUCCUCUGAGCACUGGGGAGCCCAUGAUCUGACCUGUGCAUUUGGAGGCAUUCCCAGCAACAACACGAAAAGACUACAGUGGCCCAGGUGGUCAACACUGAACGUUUCUGACCAGUACCAAGAAAGGGUGGAGAGAAGAGGUGGAAGGUAGAGUCAUCUCAGAGGUGGAAUCUACAGGGCUUGGAGCCUGAAUUUGCCAACUCUUUGGAGCUACGUGUGUGCACACGUGUGCACACACACACAUGCACACACACACACAGCAGGAGAAAGCCAGAUUCACCCCACCCCAGACUUUCUGUGGCCUGUUGGGGAUGAGACUACUUACAGUGCCUUAGUUUUCCAUUCUGUAAGAUGGGAAAAAUAAAACCAGAAUCUCAUGGCUCCCAAUGGGAUAUAGUUAUAUAUUAUGUUAGCAUUGAGAACCCUGUGGAAAUGCAGACUGGUCCCCUUCCUCCUGCUAACAGAGAACAGUCUUUCUACCAGAAUACAAUACCCACCACUUGCAUUUUCUGGGUAUCAGAAAGCAAUGGUUUGGGUUUGAGCUAUUCACUCACUUAUGAUCUGAGAUUAUUCUAAAAAGACUUCGCAGCUUAGUCUAAUUGGGUAAUUGGGAUGUUUCCAGAUGAAAUUUGACUUGUAUUUUUAAAAAACGCUUUGAAGAACUGGUUGCCAUGGUGCUGUUCUGCUGACAAGAUCCUACACUGGCUCCCACUAAGCAGCAAUAAUGGGCUUCUGUUUAGUCUGAGUUUCAGGUUACCCUACCUGAACAACCUCUGGAAGGAAGCAAGGUGUGAACCUGGGGGAAUAAGAGCAGUCCUUCCCUCAGUCUCCUUGAUGGGGGAUGUGUUUCAGCUGAUGGGGAGGUUUGUCACUGUGGGGGCGGGGGACCCGUGCCUAAGCAGGAGGGACUUCCCAGACCGCCUCGCCCCUGGGCAGCUGGGAGUUGAGGAAGAAUCCCCAGCACAUCAUCUGCCACAAUAUAAAUUGGGUGGCUCUCUCAGGAUGUGAAUACUAAUCCUCUCAUAUUUUGGGCAAAUAGGUGUUUGGCAGAGACAAUUAUCUUUAUUUUAAGAAAUAACACGGUUUUAAAAAUUAAUAUUUAUGUUUUCAUAGUAUUACUGUUUUAAAUUGGAAAAAGCCUUUGUUCUAACUCAAUUUUUCAACCUACUGGACAAUAAUUCCUCCCCAUCGUCCUUAAACUUCUUGUAUCCGAGUGUUUAUUAUAAGAAUGUGAAACAUCUUCGCCAGAUGCAGUAUUUUUGGCUUCAUUAAAAGUUUUUCUAGUUCCUCUUCAGUCAUGUCAAUAUUUACCUUGGGCCAUGCUUUGUAUCCUUUUGUUUAUAAUUCCAGAAUUCUCCAAGACAAACUGAUUAUUCAUGACUCUCUGGCCUAAGUUACAAUUUAAACAUACCUUAUGUUGACAUUUUGAGAGUAUGAGUCCCCAAACCAUUUCCUGUACUUCUUCUCAUAGAUUCAUAGUCUGUGACCUGCUGUAGUCAUUUCAUGCCUUGUAUUUCUCUUUUCCCUUUCAGAUAUCUUUCAAGUACAUCUUUUUCGUUGAUUAUACUUUUAGAACAUUAGCAAGCGAAAUUUCUCUUCCUUUCCUUUUAAAAUCACAGGAUCCCUCUAUCCUGCCAAAGAUGCUUUUACAACACUGUGUAGGACCCACAUUUUUUGAGCACUUCCAUUGUUUGUUUAGGGUGUACAGUCUUCCGUGUUGCCCAUUUCCUUUCGUUAAAUUUCUGGCUGCUGAUGAGGAGAACAUGUGGCCCAGUCUUCACUGUAUACAGACUAUAGGAUAUAAGUCUAAUAACUACAGUAUAGACUAAAGUUUAAACCCUCCAGUGAGUAAAAGGAAGCCUUAGUGACCAGACAACAUCAUAAAGCUAUAGCAUGUUUUUCUUCAGAAGCCCACUGAUAUAGAGCCAUUUUUCUUAAUUACUCAGGAUUUUAUGAUUCUGUGUGUUUCUUUUAGUUCUCUACAUGUGCCUUACGUUGUAGAGGAUUUAAAAUUUACGAAGUAUUUCACAUGCAUUAUUACUUUCGAUCCUUAUAACAACUUUGUGAGGGAGACCCAGAGGAUUCAAAUGACCUGUCUGAGAUCACAAAGCAAGUUAAGUAAGAUACAGUUUUCGCCCUUGAGGAUAUUUAUAUUAAUAAAUGAUUUGGCUUUAUGUAAGUCUUUCUAUUCCUUUACAACACUGUACUUUUUCUUGUUUUGGGGAUGUUGCACGUGCUGUUUCCUUUGCUUGAACUACCUGACUUCCCCCUCAGACUAGCCAAACUCCUACCCGGUUUUCAAAUGUCAGCUUUGAUUUCACUUCCUCUAGAAGCAUUCCCCCAACUCUAUGCUAGGAUUUCUUCUUUUGUGCUCCCAUGACACCCUUAAAAAUACAUAAGUUUAUCAUAGUGUCUGUCACCUAAUGACACUUCCUGACCACGCACUGUUAUUAUCAUUCCCCACCCCAUCUCCUACCACAUGUGUAUUUCUUGCUGGCCGUUGUACCCCCAGUACCUCACUCUGGGAUGGCACUCAAUAAACAGUUGUUAAAUAAAUGAAGGAUGCACAUUGUGUCUUCUCAUUGAUAUAGUCUUGGAUCCUUGAGCUCAAGAACAAAUGCCACA